AUUGAACGCUGGCGGCAUGCCUUACACAUGCAAGUCGAACGGCAGCACGGGUGCUUGCACCUGGUGGCGAGUGGCGAACGGGUGAGUAAUACAUCUGAACAUGUCCUGUAGUGGGGGAUAGCCCGGCGAAAGCCGGAUUAAUACCGCAUACGAUCUACGGAUGAAAGCGGGGGACCUUCGGGCCUCGCGCUAUAGGGUUGGCCGAUGGCUGAUUAGCUAGUUGGUGGGGUAAAGGCCUACCAAGGCGACGAUCAGUAGCUGGUCUGAGGGGACGACCAGCCACACUGGGACUGAGACACGGCCCAGACUCCUACGGGAGGCAGCAGUGGGGAAUUUUGGACAAUGGGCGAAAGCCUGAUCCAGCAAUGCCGCGUGUGUGAAGAAGGCCUUCGGGUUGUAAAGCACUUUUGUCCGGAAAGAAAUCCUUGGCUCUAAUACAGUCGGGGGAUGACGGUACCGGAAGAAUAAGCACCGGCUAACUACGUG
rnacentral:rRNA from 1 species